ensembl:lncRNA
UGGCAACUGCUCCCAACUCUCAGCACUGCCCCGAUAAAGGAGGAGGUGUCGGCUGAGUGGCAGGGCUCUGGAUUGGCUAAGUGAUGAAAUGAUGACCCUAUUAUGAGAAGCGACUCCAAAAUGAGAGGUAUCAGAAGAAGAUUGCACCAUUCUCUCACUGCAACGCCGUCCUCCCGCACCAGACUGCCGGCUGCGCAGAUGAUGAUUGAUUCGCUCGAGAUGGAUCGCAGGAAGCACCCAUUGAUUUCCCAGUGUUUUAUCAAAAAUAUUUAUUUACAUUUGUACCCACAGCUUCACCCGCGACCCGCUAUUCCAAAUGAGGGAUGUUAUAAAAAGGAUAAUUCUCCCUCCUCCACGACAAGACAAAUUACCCGUAAUAUUAUUAUUUCAGAAACGAGCCAAUAGCAUCAGUGACUAAAUGGAUAUUGACUGCAGCUCGUAGUGUGACUGUGGCCUCCUUCACCCUGCUGCAGACUCCAGUGUCAGCAUCUACACAGUGAUGCCAAACCUCCCGAGUGUUUAACACACAAUCCAGGCCUGCUCUCACAAAACGACAACCGCAUGUAUCUCAGAUGGUGAAUCCGCCUACUGAGUGAGUACAUUCUGACGCUGAGCGUUCCCGCGCCUGGCUGUUGUCUAACCAGACUCGCGAGGCCCAAAUAGCGGGUUUGUUUGGAAGAUGCUAUAGGUGCCGUAUGG